rnacentral:rRNA from 1 species
AUUGAACGCUGGCGGCAUGCUUUACACAUGCAAGUCGAACGGUAACAGGCCGCAAGGUGCUGACGAGUGGCGAACGGGUGAGCAAUGCAUCGGAACGUGCCCAGUCGUGGGGGAUAACGCAGUGAAAGCUGUGCUAAUACCGCAUACGAUCUAUGGAUGAAAGCGGGGGACCGUAAGGCCUCGCGCGAUUGGAGCGGCCGAUGUCAGAUUAGGUAGUUGGUGGGGUAAAGGCCUACCAAGCCGACGAUCUGUAGCUGGUCUGAGAGGACGACCAGCCACACUGGGACUGAGACACGGCCCAGACUCCUACGGGAGGCAGCAGUGGGGAAUUUUGGACAAUGGGGGCAACCCUGAUCCAGCAAUGCCGCGUGCAGGAAGAAGGCCUUCGGGUUGUAAACUGCUUUUGUACGGAACGAAACGGUCUGGGUUAAUACCCUGGGCUAAUGACGGUACCGUAAGAAUAAGCACCGGCUAACUACGUGCCAGCCGCCGCCGUAAAAC